AUUGAACGCUGGCGGCAUGCUUUACACAUGCAAGUCGAACGGCAGCGGGGGCUUCGGCCUGCCGGCGAGUGGCGAACGGGUGAGUAAUGCAUCGGAACGUGCCCAUGUCGUGGGGGAUAACUACGCGACAGCGUGGCUAAUACCGCAUACGCCCUGAGGGGGAAAGCGGGGGAUCUUUCGGGACCUCGCGAGAUUGGAGCGGCCGAUGUCGGAUUAGCUAGUUGGUGGGGUAAAGGCUCACCAAGGCGACGAUCCGUAGCUGGUCUGAGAGGAUGAUCAGCCACACUGGGACUGAGACACGGCCCAGACUCCUACGGGAGGCAGCAGUGGGGAAUUUUGGACAAUGGGCGCAAGCCUGAUCCAGCCAUGCCGCGUGAGUGAAGAAGGCCUUCGGGUUGUAAAGCUCUUUCGGCCGGGAAGAAAUCGCUUUCUCUAAUAUAGGAUGUGGAUGACGGUACCGGACUAAGAAGCACCGGCUAACUACGUGCCAGCCGCCGCAGUAACAC
rnacentral:rRNA from 1 species